GUCUGUCUGUUGGGGAGAGAGCUGGGUUAACAUGGCCAGGGAUCUUAAUGUCCCCAUGUGGAAGCCAAGAGAGGCAGAGAGCAAAGGGAGGGCAGGUGAGGGGAGCAAAGCCCCAGUGGGGUUGGAGUCAGCAAUUGUGGGCGGGACUGGUGAAAGGUUUGCUGGCCUCCAGAAGGUACGUGCCUCUCUGCAAGUCUGAGCUAAUCUUGGAGAUGAAGAAGGCAGUCUCUAACCAACCUUGAGAAGAAAAAAAAAAUACUCUCCAGACAGACCCAGAGAUGAUAAUUAUUGGAGAACACAGCUUCAAAGAAUGAGACUUCUAGCAGCAAAUAAGAGAGUUGGUCAGACCCUGGGAACCAAUUGGAGCAAACUACCCAUCAGUGUUGCUGACCCAAGGGGACUUGUGAGGGAACACUGAAGAGAAAAGGGAGUUCCAUUUCUUGCCAUACCUGGAAUUCUCUCUCGGGCUCCCGAAGCAGCUGAAGGCGGGAAGGAAUGUGCUGAAUUAGUCCUGGACUUGAACGCCUAAGUCUCUCCUGGGUAACUACUCCCUCUGCGUCUGACAGGGCCGGCCAUCCUGGCCCAGAAUCCCAGGCGUGCCCCCUCCUAAUCCACAGCCUCUUUUCCCCCUUUUCUUUCAACAAAUUGGAGGUAACCGGAUGCUAGGGAGGUGGGCGCUGGUGCCUCCGAUUCCUUUCUUAUUCGGGGAGCUAACUAUCCCAAGAAUGUACAGAAUCAGUUUGGAAAUAGCUGAGAAGGCAGCCCUGGCUUCUGGGGGGCGCGCGCGUGUGUGUGUGUGUGUGUGUGUGUGUGAAGAGUUGCUUUUCAUUCUCUCCCUCUCAGAGCCUGACUUCCUUUGUCUCCUUUCAAAUCCCUCUUCGUGAUCCUGGAGGCUUCCUUAUUUAAAAAAAAAAAAAAAAAAACACAUACAUACACAAAUAUAUGAUUGUAUUUUGCCUAAGGUACCGCAAGCCCCUUAAGAAUGGAUCAGGUGUAAUUAAUAACAGAAAAUAAUGUUUCCCCCUCCUUCUCUCGACCUUUCACCCUCAUAUAAGUGUCGUAAGUUUUAUGAUGGCUAAAAACAAAGUAAGUGUGUGUGUG